UCAUGGCCAUAUUUACUUCUCAUUACAGAUGGACUAUUUUCCAAUAUGAUUACAACAAUGAAGAGGUUUCUCACUCUGCCUUACUCACUGAUUGCAAGUUCAAAACUUCUGGACUUCCACUGGGUCUUAGCUCUGUUAAAAAAAUGGUAUUUAUUUACCAGAGUGCCUUUGGAUAUAAGAGGUCCAAAGUUCCAAGGAGUAGAUUUUCAACAUAUAACUACAGACCAAGAGCAAAUACAACAAACCCUAAUAUCAGUAUCAGUGUCACUAGUGACCUAGUCUGCUGGUAA
rnacentral:lncRNA from 1 species